GGUCCUUUAGUGUAGUGGUAGCACAACAUCUUUUCAUGAUGUCGGGACCAGUUCGAAUCUGGUAAGGACUA